rnacentral:rRNA from 1 species
CUAUACAUGCAAGUCGAGCGAACUGAUUAGAAGCUUGCUUCUAUGACGUUAGCGGCGGACGGGUGAGUAACACGUGGGCAACCUGCCUGUAAGACUGGGAUAACUUCGGGAAACCGAAGCUAAUACCGGAUAGGAUCUUCUCCUUCAUGGGAGAUGAUUGAAAGAUGGUUUCGGCUAUCACUUACAGAUGGGCCCGCGGUGCAUUAGCUAGUUGGUGAGGUAACGGCUCACCAAGGCAACGAUGCAUAGCCGACCUGAGAGGGUGAUCGGCCACACUGGGACUGAGACACGGCCCAGACUCCUACGGGAGGCAGCAGUAGGGAAUCUUCCGCAAUGGACGAAAGUCUGACGGAGCAACGCCGCGUGAGUGAUGAAGGCUUUCGGGUCGUAAAACUCUGUUGUUAGGGAAGAACAAGUACAAGAGUAACUGCUUGUACCUUGACGGUACCUAACCAGAAAGCCACGGCUAACUACGUGCCAGCAGCCGCGGUAAUACGUAGGUGGCAAGCGUUAUCCGGAAUUAUUGGGCGUAAAGCGCGCGCAGGCGGUUUCUUAAGUCUGAUGUGAAAGCCCACGGCUCAACCGUGGAGGGUCAUUGGAAACUGGGGAACUUGAGUGCAGAA